CAUAUGAAAUUUGACAUGCUCAAAAAUGCAAAAUUGACUGGUCUGAUGAACACAGGAUGGCCGAGCAGUGAUAGUUGUACAUUUCCAUCACUCGUUGUGUUGAUUUCAUCAUGAACAUUAGGUGAUGUUUUUUCACUAUAGAAUCAUAUUGUAAGUGCACGUGCAUUUGCAAUAUGUUUCAAUGUGCAUUUACCAUAUGAAAUUUGACAUGCUCAAAAAUGCUAAAUUGACUGGUCUGAUGAACACAGGAUGGCCGAGCAGUGAGAGUUGUACCUUUCCAUCACUCGUUGUGUUGAUUUCAUCAUGUCCAUUUGUUUAUGUUUUCUCACUUUUGCAAAGUCACUGUGCAUUUGCAAUAUGGUUCAAUGGGCAGGUACCAUCACGAAUUUGUCAUGCUAUAAAAAUCCUGCAGGAAUGUGAAAUUGACUGGCCUGAUGAACACAGGAUGGCCUGGCAGUGAUAGUUGUUCCUUUCCAUCACUCGUUGUGUUGAUUUCAUCAUGUCCAUUAGGUGAUGUUUUUUCACUAUAGAAUCAUAUUGCAAAUGCACGUGCAUUGUUGUGCAACUGGUAACCCAAAAAUAAAAAUAUGGUUGUAAAUGCAUUUACCGGGACGCCUAUUGUCCAUGCCCGCUAUGGGAGUACCCUACUACGGCCCUCUAUCUAUUGAGUCCGUCCUGAGUGCUUUAUGGACUGUUUAAAAUAUUCUGAUGGAUACGCAUGUUGUGCAACUGGUGAUUGAAAAUAGGCACCUGGUAACCCCCCAAAAAAUAUGCUUGUAAAUGCAUUUACCGGUCAUUCUGAUAUUAAUGCUCGCUAUGGGAACACAGGAUGGCCGGGCAGUGAUAGUUGUACAUUUCCAUCACUCGUUGUGUUGAUUUCAUCAUGUCCAUUAGGUGAUGUUUUUUCACUAUAGAAUCAUAUUGCAAAUGCACGUGCAUUGUUGUGCAACUGGUAACCCAAAAAUAAAAAUAUGGUUGUAAAUGCAUUUACCGGUCAUUCUGAUAUUAAUGCUCGCUAUGGGAACACAGGAUGGCCGGGCAGUGAUAGUUGUACAUUUCCAUCACUCGUUGUGUUGAUUUCAUCAUGUCCAUUAGGUGAUGUUUUUUCACUAUAGAAUCAUAUUGCAAAUGCACGUGCAUUGUUGUGCAACUGGUAACCCAAAAAUAAAAAUAUGGUUGUAAAUGCAUUUACCGGUCAUUCUGAUAUUAAUGCUCGCUAUGGGAACACAGGAUGGCCGGGCAGUGAUAGUUGUACAUUUCCAUCACUCGUUGUGUUGAUUUCAUCAUGUCCAUUAGGUGAUGUUUUUUCACUAUAGAAUCAUAUUGCAAAUGCACGUGCAUUGUUGUGCAACUGGUAACCCAAAAAUAAAAAUAUGGUUGUAAAUGCAUUUACCGGUCAUUCUGAUAUUAAUGCCCGCUAUGGGAACACAGGAUGGCCGGGCAGUGAUAG